rnacentral:rRNA from 1 species
UACGUAGGGGGCAAGCGUUGUCCGGAAUCAUUGGGCGUAAAGAGCGUGUAGGCGGCCUGGUAAGUCCGCUGUGAAAGUCCAGGGCUCAACCCUGGAAUGCCGGUGGAAACUGUCAGGCUCGAGUCCGGAAGAGGCGAGUGGAAUUCCUGGCGUAGCGGUGAAAUGCGCAGAUAUCAGGAGGAACACCAAUGGCGAAGGCAGCUCGCUGGGACGGUACUGACG